GACGAACCGUGCGAACGUUGUUCGGAAUCACUGGGCUUAAAGGGCGCGUAGGCGGGCUACCAAGUCUGUGGUGAAAUCCUCCAGCUCAACUGGAGAACGGCCGUGGAUACUGGGAGCCUCGAGGGAGAUAGGGGCAGGCGGAACUGAUGGUGGAGCGGUGAAAUGCGUUGAUAUCAUCAGGAACUCCGGUGGCGAAGGCGGCCUGCUGGAUCUCAUCUGACGCUGAGGCGCGAAAGCCAGGGGAGCAAACGGGAUUAGAUACCCCGGUAGUCCUGGCCCUAAACGAUGAGUACUAGGUAGUAGGCCAGACAUGGGCUUACUGCCGGAGCAAAAGUGCUAAGUACUCCGCCUGGGGAGUAUGGUCGCAAGGCUGAA
rnacentral:rRNA from 1 species